CGCCCUCAGCGGCGGGGCGGGGCCGCGCGCGCUCGCCUCAGCGGCUGAUGGCGCCGUUCGGCUGUGGAGGGGUGUGAGCCCGCCGCGGCCGUGAGAGCCCGUCUUUACAAGGCUCGCUCGCCUCCUUUGAUCGUCUCUUCUCAGCUCCUGGUAGCGCUUCUUAAACGUUUUCCCAAAGAUCUGUUAAUUUCAGAGGAGUAG
rnacentral:lncRNA from 1 species